rnacentral:misc_RNA from 1 species
AAGUCGUAACAAGGUAACCGUAGGUGAACCUGCGGUUGGAUCAUUAACAAAUUCAAUUGAAGAGGGUUUGUUCUUUCGAGAGCAAAUCCCUUUUUCAAACACCUUUGUGAACCGUUUAUUGUAUCUUGGUGUUGUUGGUUUAACCGCUGACGCACCAAAACAUGUUAUUAAACUUUAUUUAUUCAACCUGUCUUUAUGUUAAUUUUUUAAUUCAAAAAAUAAAACAACUUUUGGCAACGGAUCUCUAGGCUCUU